GCAGUCGAGGGGCAUCGGGAAGAAAGCUUGCUUUCUUUGCCGGCGACCGGCGCACGGGUGAGUAACACGUAUCCAACCUGCCCUUUACUCGGGGAUAGCCUUUCGAAAGAAAGAUUAAUACCCGAUGGCAUAAUGAUUCCGCAUGGUUUCAUUAUUAAAGGAUUCCGGUAAAGGAUGGGGAUGCGUUCCAUUAGGUUGUUGGUGAGGUAACGGCCCACCAAGCCUUCGAUGGAUAGGGGUUCUGAGAGGAAGGUCCCCCACAUUGGAACUGAGACACGGUCCAAACUCCUACGGGAGGCAGCAGUGAGGAAUAUUGGUCAAUGGGCGCUAGCCUGAACCAGCCAAGUAGCGUGAAGGAUGAAGGCUCUAUGGGUCGUAAACUUCUUUUAUAUAAGAAUAAAGUGCAGUAUGUAUACUGUUUUGUAUGUAUUAUAUGAAUAAGGAUCGGCUAACUCCGUGCCAGCAGCCGCGGUAAUACGGAGGAUCCGAGCGUUAUCCGGAUUUAUUGGGUUUAAAGGGAGCGUAGGUGGACUGGUAAGUCAGUUGUGAAAGUUUGCGGCUCAACCGUAAAAUUGCAGUUGAUACUGUCAGUCUUGAGUACAGUAGAGGUGGGCGGAAUUCGUGGUGUAGCGGUGAAAUGCUUAGAUAUCACGAAGAACUCCGAUUGCGAAGGCAGCUCACUGGACUGCAACUGACACUGAUGCUCGAAAGUGUGGGUAUCAAACAGGAUUAGAUACCCUGGUAGUCCACACAGUAAACGAUGAAUACUCGCUGUUUGCGAUAUACAGUAAGCGGCCAAGCGAAAGCAUUAAGUAUUCCACCUGGGGAGUACGCCGGCAACGGUGAAACUCAAAGGAAUUGACGGGGGCCCGCACAAGCGGAGGAACAUGUGGUUUAAUUCGAUGAUACGCGAGGAACCUUACCCGGGCUUAAAUUGCAGUGGAAUGAUGUGGAAACAUGUCAGUGAGCAAUCACCGCUGUGAAGGUGCUGCAUGGUUGUCGUCAGCUCGUGCCGUGAGGUGUCGGCUUAAGUGCCAUAACGAGCGCAACCCUUAUCUUCAGUUACUAACAGGUCAUGCUGAGGACUCUGGAGAGACUGCCGUCGUAAGAUGUGAGGNAAGGUGGGGAUGACGUCAAAUCACCACGGCCCUUACGUCCNGGGGCUACCACGGGUUACAAUGGGGGG
rnacentral:rRNA from 1 species